AGUGAACGCUGGCGGCAGGCCUAACACAUGCAAGUCGAACGGCAGCACAAGGGAGCUUGCUCCCUGGGUGGCGAGUGGCGGACGGGUGAGGAAUACGUCGGAAUCUGCCUAUUUGUGGGGGAUAACCUCGGGAAACCGGGACUAAUACCGCAUACGACCUACGGGUGAAAGCAGGGGAUCUUCGGACCUUGCGCAGAUAGAUGAGCCGACGUCGGAUUAGCUAGUUGGCGGGGUAAAGGCCCACCAAGGCGACGAUCCGUAGCUGGUCUGAGAGGAUGAUCAGCCACACUGGAACUGAGACACGGUCCAGACUCCUACGGGAGGCAGCAGUGGGGAAUAUUGGACAAUGGGCGCAAGCCUGAUCCAGCCAUGCCGCGUGAGUGAAGAAGGCCCUCGGGUUGUAAAGCUCUUUUGUUGGGAAAGAAAAGCAGCCGGUUAAUACCCGGUUGUCAUGACGGUACCCAAAGAAUAAGCACCGGCUAACUUCGUGCCAGCCGCCGCAGUAACAC
rnacentral:rRNA from 1 species